CCUACGGGUGGCUGCAGUGAGGGAUAUUGGUCAAUGGACGAGAGUCUGAACCAGCCAAGUAGCGUGAAGGAUGACUGCCCUAUGUAUUGUAAACUUCUUUUAUAAAGGAGUAAAACGAGGCAGGUGUGCCUUUUUGCAUGUACUUUAUGAAUGAGGAACGGCUAACUCCGAGCCAGCAGCCGCGGUAAUACGGAGGAUGCGAGCGUUAUCCGGAUUUACUGGGUGUAUAGGGAGCGUAGAUGGGUUAGUAAGUCAGUUGUGAAAGUCUGGGGCUCAACCGCAAAACUGCAAUUGAUACUGGUGGUCUUGAGUGCAGUAGAGGUAAGCGGAAUUCCUAGUGUAGCGGUGAAAUGCGUAGAUAUUAGGAGGAACACCAGUGGCGAAGGCAGCUUACUAGACUGUAACUGACAUUGAUGCUCGAAAGUGUGGGUAGCAAACAGGAUUAGAUACCCCAGUAGUC
rnacentral:rRNA from 1 species